GUUGAAACACCAGUUCCUGUACGAUCACUGAAGUUAAGCAACGUUGAGCCUGGUCAGUACAUAAAUGCGUGACCAUUUUGGGAAUACCAGGUGCUGUAAG